CAAUAGCGUAUAUUAAAGUUGUUGCAGUUAAAAAGCUCGUAGUUGGACCUUGGACCUGGACAGGCGGUCCGCCUCACGGCGUGUACUGUCUUGCUGGGUCUUUCCUCUUGGUGAUCUGUUGUUUCGGCAGCAGGGAACCAGGACUUUUACUUUGAAAAAAUUAGAGUGUUCAAAGCAGGCUCGACGCCGGAAUAUAUUAGCAUGGAAUAAUAAAAUAGGACGUGCGGUUCUAUUUUGUUGGUUUUUGGAAUCGCCGUGAUGAUUAAUAGGGACAGUCGGGGGCAUUAGUACUCACAUGCUAGAGGUGAAAUUCUUGGAUUUUGUGAAGACUAACUUCUGCGAAAGCAUUUGCCAAGGAUGUUUUCAUUAA
rnacentral:rRNA from 1 species